GUACACGCUGUGACUAGCAUAUCAAUAAAGCGGAGGAAAAGAAACUAACAAGGAUUCCCCUAGUAACGGCGAGUGAAGCGGGAAGAGCUCAAAUUUGAAAUCUUAAAGGGUUUCCCUUUACGAAUUGUAGUUUAAAGAAGUGUUUUCUGUUGAGGUUUUGGUAAAAGUUCUUUGGAAUAGGACAUCAUAGAGGGUGAGAAUCCCGUAUUUGACCUUUACUUUCAACUUUGUGAUACACUUUCAAAGAGUCGGAUUGUUUGGGAAUGCAGUCCAAAAUGGGUGAGUAAAUUUCAUCUAAAGCUAAAUAUUGGCGAGAGACCGAUAGCGAACAAGUACCGUGAGGGAAAGAUGAAAAGAACUUUGAAAAGAGAGUUAAACAGUACGUGAAAUUGUCGAAAAGGGAAGCGUUUGACACCAGUGUUGUUUUUCUGAAAAUCAAUUAAAGAACUGUUUAUGCUAAGUUGUUUAGACUUUAUCAGCUAACUGUUUAGUUUUGAGCUUUUCUUUAAUGCACUUUUCAGUUAACAAGUCAACAUCAAUUUCUUUUGCUGUAAAAAAGCUUGAGGAAGGUGGCUUGAGAUUCGUCUUAAGUGUUUAUAGCCUCUCUGCCUAUGCAGUCGGAGAGACUGAGGUCCUGCAGCGUAGAUCCUUCGGGGCUAAAUGCAUUUGUGCUAAGUUAUAGCAUUUUAUAGACAACUUGUUGACUAUGAUUUGUCUUGUAGCUUACUCGCGUAUGUUAUUUUACCUACGCUUAGGAUGUUGAAGAUGUAGCACAUCAU
rnacentral:rRNA from 1 species